rnacentral:lncRNA from 1 species
GCAAAGGUCAGCCAAAUCCAGCAUGGGAAGGGCCUUGAAAGCUUGGGAAGGAAUUUGAGUGAUACAAUUUUUUGGCAGAGGGGUGCCAUGAUUUUGGAAAGAUCACUUUGGUGGCAAUGUGGAAGGUGCAAAAGGCGGCUAUUGCAGGGCCCAGGAUGUGGGGUUGCUUACAUCAGACCUCCUGCUACAAGGACAGAAUUGAUCGGGGACAAUUUCUAGGGACAGGAUUGAUCUGGGGGGUAUGUGGCCCCAGAUGAGGAAAGAGAAGUCCAGGAGGUGGUAAAAUAAGUCCUUUCUUCUAACUCCCCUGCUAGGUAGGCACUGUACCAGUUAGGAAGGCAUUUGGCUGCAGGUAACAGGAAACCUGGUUCUAGAAGUUUAAUCACACAGGGGUGCCUUUUUCUCAUAAUAAGAAAUCAGUAAAUGGUGGUUGCUGACUUUGCUGUGGUAACUCGACAACUCUGAGAUUCUUAUGGCCUCUCCUCAUGGUCUUAAUGUGGUUGGUACAACUCUAAGUAUCGUGUCUGUGUUUAAAAGAAAACCAAGAGGCAGAAAGGUGGAAAGAGAGGGCCAUACCAGCUGCACCCUUUUGUCAGGAAACCAGUUUUACUUGACAUUUGCACCCCACCCCCUGCCAGCUUCCACCUAUAUCUUAUGGCCCUAUCCUGGGUGCAAGGGGGCUGGGGAACUGAGGAACAGGCUUGUCAUGCUCAGUGGAGCCUCUUUGUGGGACCAGGCCCAUUUCCAUUCCAAAUGAAUUGGGUUUGUUACAAGGAAGAAGGGGAAAUAGAUAUUGAUAGGCAGAAGCAUGUCCCCAAACAUGGCCAGAGAUGGUGUAUCUUCUGCCAUAGGAACUCCUGGUGCAUGGCACGAAUUCAGACAUCCUGCCUUCUGGACCUGACACUAUGAAGCCCCACUGUGUUUCCCCACUCCCAUUCCAGGCCUCUGCCUCAGUGGGUCCCAGUUCAUCCCUGUCCAUCCCAGAGGGGCCCUCUGAAGUAGAUCCAGGCCCUGGGUGGGGGCAGUGGCUAGUGCUAAGCAGAGUGGGACGAGAGCACCAUCACUGAGUUCCCUACUGACCGUUUCUGAGCUGAGCUGGCACAGAGGUCCUGGGAACAGAGGCUGUCUACAGCCUGGUAUUCUGGUAGCACAGAAGGCUCCUGGAAAGCCAUCUAACCCAUCUUGCUGGUCUCUUCUUGUGGCACAUGAUAGUAAGCCAUGAGGACUCUUGAG